ensembl:lncRNA
UUCUUUGUCCUAGGUCCAUAUUAAAUUGAAUUGGGUGACAAUAUCGCAGGGGGGUGUCCUUCCAAACAUUCACGCACAGCUGCUACCAAAGAAGACCAUGAGGGAUGACUCAAGCAAAGCUGAAACGGGUCGUCUGCAAUGAUUCUACAGUUGCCCAUAACAGACAAACCAAAACCCUAGCUCGGGAUGGGGCUUUUCGUGUUAUGGCGUUUGACGGUCACCAUAGGUCCGAAAGGAACUGGCUGCCGUACUGGUCCUCGAGUCUCAAGUCAGCAUUGGUACAGUCUUGAUAAAUCAGGGUGUCAAUGGGACAUCCACAUAUGUCAUCUGGAAGGGGUCUCUUGAUGAUAUCACCAACCGCAAGGGUAAGAUUACUACCCUGCAUGAGGGAGAGGACUUUGGGCAGCUAGCCCUGAUAAACAAAAUGCCCCAAGACAUCUCAGUCGUCAUUCGAAAGCAUGACUGUCACUUCCUCCGAGUGGGAAACCUGGACUUUGUGAGCAUCCUUAAGGAUGUGAAUGCAAACAUAGUACAUGUGGAAGAGAAUGGCAUACCUGCACUGAUCCUUCAGAGGAGCUCCAGCCAGGUGGUUACCGAAGAUGCACCAGAAUAUGCAUCUUGCAGCAACAACUUUUUGGUGAAGUUGGGAACACCAGCCAAGAUUCUGCAGUUCUUGCUGGGCUCAAUCAAACUGAACACAACUGAUGAUCGAAUGGGUAAGCAACUUCCUGAAGCUUGUAAUUUUUUUAUGGAUUUUUGCCAGUUUGAAACUUGGACAAAUACCAGUUACAUUGUAAAUGACUGAAAUGUCUCUGAUGUUUAUCAUGUGGUAAAGAGAAAGUGAAACAGGCUAGUAGUGCAGUGAUUAUGAGAGUUCUAUGUCAUCUUUGCACGCAGAUUCUUUUGUGUACAAUUUCUUGCUCACGCAUCAUCUCUUCAUGCCAUCUGAGGAGCUGUGCUCUGCCCUGCUGAAUCAUUUCCAUGCUGAGACAUCAGCCUCCACCCUGAAGACCAAGGAUAAAAUAAUAAACCUGGUUGUCCAGUGGGUGGCGCUAUAUGGCCU